rnacentral:sRNA from 1 species
AUAUACAUAAUAUUUUUGGUUUUAAGUGUUAGAGUUUAAUAUGUGUAAAAUAAUUGGACACAACAUCCCGUCCAUAGUAUGAGGUCCUUAAGCGGUGUCCUAGGUUCAUUAUCUUUUUCCACAUAUU